AGCUCUUUUGAGGUAUCAUGGUUUAGUUGUCAAUUGUAGUGCCAUCUUUUCUCAUUUAUCCAUGGUUUUUGUUCUGAUUGUGCUAGGUAGAAGUCUGCCAUCAGCAGCCAAGCUGCUGUUUGACAUCCUAGUAGGUGGCGUUUUUCAUAUUUGGUAUGGGAAUUUUCUUGUGGUUAAGAAAAUUAAGGCUGUUCAAGUUACUGACUUCACGUCUAUCAUAGCCAUUUUAUUUUGGAUCGUUUGGAGAUAUGUGGCAUCAGUCUUUUGAACAUUAUAUGCAACUACAUAGUGAAUUCAGUAUAGAUAAACAGUUGAUUCCUGCUAAUGGCUAAUGCGAUGCAUGCAUACAGUACCAAUGAGAUAAAAGUGUCUAUAGAAAGGUUAAAAAGAUUAUAUUCUGUGGCUGGAGAAGGACAAAGACUGAACAAUUCUGAUGAUUUGAGAAGCUGUAGUUUAGCUGGUCAAUUUCACUAUUAUGGUUUUUUUUUUUUUUUACUGUGGCGCUCUAUUUUACUUGCACGUCCUAUAAAAUCGCAAACCAGAGUCAACUUAUAGUGUCGAUAAAUUUGGACUUAAGAUUUUAUAAAUAAUCUCUAGUCUUCAACAUUUCAUCUGCCUUAAAAUUGAAUCAACCAAUAUCAGAAACAAUUUUUAUUUCGGUAGUCAUCGUUGUUGUUAUCCAUCUAACACUGCACUUUUAUGAUGCUAAUUAGUCUUGAGAACUUUACUACUAAGACGUGACCAUUUAUUGGUAAUAAUUUAUCACUUCUUUUGUAGAUAUGUUGGUUUAUGUUGCUGUGUCUUGCAGUUUUUCUGAUUGCUUGUUGUUUUAUGUUUUGCUGUUGGUUGUGCAUUAAUGGGGAAUAUCUAUGUUACUUUAAACGGCAGGAUUUACUUUUAACAGCCAUUCAGUAAAUUGGUACCUUAUGCACGCCAUUGCAAGGAUUUUUCAUUUAGCUAUUUAAUAUGUUGUUUCCAAGACAAUGUUUUCAAGUGUAUAGUGAAUUUUCCACUUAGUGGUGGAUGAUAUGAUGUGGACUUUGAUCAACUGCUAAGGGUUGAUUACUUGUAAGGUAUCCAAUUUCAGGAUGUUCCUUGGUUGCCUUUUUAGGCGAUUAGGACAAUUUACAGCAAGGUCAAAAUACACUGAGGUUUAUGCCCGAGACAAAAGCUUUACUUCCUUAGGAUUACAAUUAACUGAAUUCUCUAACAUUUCCUCGAGGAUCUAUCUUCAUUUAUUUGUAUGUUUAAACACUUUCAAUUUAUCUUUUGGAAGUUGGGGCCUGUUUGUGGAAGAGACUAAAUAAAAGAUGAUACUCAAACUUCAAUUGGCGUGUAGUUCUGAACUUUUUCCCCAACUGAUGUUGCUCCUAGAUUAUGUCUUUCAAUCAUUUGCCUCUGCAUCUUAUUUUGAAGGUGGUUACAUCCUAUAAGAGAGCGUAUUCAACCUCACUUCUGCUCUUCAUUCAUUCCCCUUCUCUUUAUUUAUGUGGGUGUUCUUGAUUUUAGCUUCAUUUUUGUUCAAUUUAUCGGAUGAUAAACUUGGGGUCUCUUCAGUCAAAUUGCUGUACUUGAUACCCAUUUGCCUUCACCUUAUUUGACUUUCAUAUAACGUUUACUGAAAUAAAUGGUAUAUCAAAUUCUUGCCGUCCAAAGAACUUGUUUUCGAUAAUUUGUAAUUUCCCUUUGCUUGUGCUUUUGUGACUGUUAUUAUUGUCUACCAUAUUUAACAGCUUAGUACCUUAAAUUGGAGCUUUCUUUUCCAUGGCAAUGCUGAUAUUCUAUUUUUCUUGUUGGUUGAGCAAGUUGUUGAUGGAAAGAGAAACACCGAAACAGGAAUUUAGCACGUUGGUGAGGCUUUCAUCCUGUUUCUUUCUUCUGUUGGAACUUUGUCUUCAUCUUGGAUGUUCAAAGAUAUGUCAAGUUGUUCGUACGGGAGGCUUCAGGUCUUCAUCUUAGAUCUUCUUGUUUAUGCCAACUGGCUUUGGUGGCUUCAGGCGGGAGAUUUAUAAGAGGUAAUGCACUAGGAUAUCUCCCCGAUGCAUUAUUUUGCCAAAAGGAAAAAGGUACUUGAGGAUUUAUUUUUCAGAUUUAAGAUUUUGUACAAUGUCAUCUGUUCCUGGGGACCAGAACGAGGCUAAUUAAACACAGGUGAUGAAGCUUUGGUCGACGUCAAGGUUGAUGCGCUGCGAUGCGCUGCGAUGCCCUGCCCCCCAAGAUCAAAAGGUUUAUUAUCAAAAAAAUAAAAAAACCGUAGGUUCAAGUUUCAUCAAAUUGUGACCGUAUUUCUAAUUUUUUGUAAAUAUCGUCUCACCAAGUGUAGGGCUAGCAAUAAUUGGGUUUGUUUGGAUAGGGUAUUAUUUAAAAUAUUAUUUGGAAUAAUUACUGUAGCAUUUUUUGUGAUGUGAUAUAUGUGAGAUAAAAAGGUGGUUGAGAAUAUAAAAAGAUAGGUUGGGAAAUGUGUUUAU